GGGUACAGACUAGAACAUUUCAACGGACAGAACAUUGUUCGCGAACAUGUUUGCAACCAAUGUGGACGGGAAAACGAACAUUUCCCCGUAACAAAAAAUGUUCGGUUGUUUGUUCGGUUGCGAUCCGAUAUUUGUCGGUUUUUGCCCGUCACAUCAAAGGAUGUUCGCCGUGGCUCGGAUAACAGUCUGGACGUCGCUGCGAACACUUCCUGCGAACAUUCAGUUGUCGACGUGGAGCGGUGUUGUCUUCACGGAGUUAGUAGCGGUGCGUGACUCUUUUGUUAUAUGAGAAUGGAGUGGUCCAAGGAAGAUCAAAUAAAACUGAUAGAUUUGUAUAAACAACAAACAGUGAUAUGGGACCCAAACAAUGUUAAUCAUUUCAACAAAAUUAGAAAACAAGACGCGUGGGAAGAAAUCGGGGCCGAAAUGGACAGAGAUGUGGACGAAUGUAAGAAGAAAAUGGAGAGUUUGCUAUCAGCAUUAAGAAGGGAGAGGAAGAAAAUGAAAGACACUGCUGGAACUGGAAAAGGAACUGACGAAAUGUACAGAAGUUCCUGGUUCGCUUUCGAAAGUCUACGUUUCUUGCUGGACAAAAAUAAACCAAGAAAGACAAUUUCGACGAUGCGAGUAGAAAGCGAAGAGAGAGACGUAGAAUGUGGUGCAGUUGGAGAAUCAGCACAGGAAACUGUACCGAAAAAGAAGAAGCAGCGAGUCGAAGAUGCACGUCUAGACAAAGCCUUUCAUAUAUUGUCGUCCACCGCGAGUCAGCUUAACGAUGAGUGCCAACAUUUUGGAAAUUUGGUCGCAUCUAAGUUGAG